rnacentral:lncRNA from 1 species
CUCCUUCAAAGAGAUCAUAUCAACACUCCCAAGAAGAAAAAGCUGGUAUGGCGAUGAUACUUUUUUGUAUCAAGGCUUUUGGUGUGACACAUUUUUUAUUGAAGGAUUAAUGAGAGCUCAACAAAGUUUUCGAUCUCAACCUUCUGAUAUCGUCAUAUGCAGUGCUAUGAAAACCGGAACAACAUGGUUAAAGUCCCUCACUUUUGCCAUUGUAACAAGAUCCACCUUCGAUGAUUCCACUAACCCUUUAUUUAACAAUCUAUCACAUGAUUGUGUACCCCUUUUAGAGGUUGAUUUAGCCCAAUCUUCCACCAAUCGAGACCCUAAAAAUCCUUUGUUAGCCACACAUACCCCUUACUCUUCUUUACCAAGAUCAAUAAUUGAUUCUAGUUGUAAAAUUGUUUACAUUUGUAGGGACCCUAAGGAUUCAUUAGUUUCGCUUUAUCACUUCUUUGCUAGGUACUUGGCAUCUAAAGACAUGAAACCUCCCGCUUUAGAAGAGGCCUUUGAGCUUUUUUGCCAAGGUGUAAGCUCUUACGGACCUUAUUGGGACCAUGUUCUAGGGUUUUGGAAAGCAAGUUUGGACCGACCUGAUAAGAUUCUUUUCUUGAAAUACGAAGAAAUGAUAGAAGAUACUAUUUUAUACGUUAAGAAAAUAGCUGAUUUCAUCGGUUAUCCUUUCUCUUUUGAAGAACUUGAAAAAGGAUCAGUCGAAAAAAUCGUAGACAUGUGUAGUUUCGAGAAUUUAAGCAAUUUGGAAGUGAAUAAAAGAGGAAAACACCGUGAGGGAACUCCAGCGGUGAUUGAAAACAAGAUGUAUUUCCGAAAAGGUAAGGUUGGGGAUUGGGAGAAUUAUUUGACACCUGAAAUGGCUGCUCGGUUGGACUCGAUAACGUUGCAGAAGCUAAAUGGUUCUGGCUUAACUCUAUGAUUGAAUAAUAAAGCAGCCAUGGGGUACAUUUUGCCUUCUCUGCAAUUUCGACAUAUUAUGUUUCUAAAAAUAAAUUGUGUAUGCUUUUUGCAAGUAGCAACACUUCUCGUGUUGUUCAUGUUAAGAUCAAUUAAAAGUAUAGUUGGUUCAAUCAAUAAAAUUUGAUAUAAGCUGAUUUGAUUUUGUUAGUUUAAUUUUUAUGGAUAAACUACACCAACUCUCCUAAGCUUUGUAUAAAAUUACAUUUCAGUUAUCCAACUUUCAAAAUUUAUAUCAUAGUCACUAACAUUAUCAAAUUGUUACAUUUUUGUCACUCGACUGUUAACUUUAAAGAAGUAACGUUGCACAUUAAUUCAAAAGGUUAAUAGCUAAUUUGGUCCCUGAACUAUAGUUAAAAAAUUAUUUUCACAUUUAAAUUUUUUACAAUAAUUUUAAAAAAGUAAAAAAAAAAGUCUUAAAAAUAAAAUUCAUAUAAAAAACCAGUUGCAGCGAGAAACAACUAAGAAUUUUGCUACCGUCUUUGCUCUUUUUUUCUUUUUUUUUUUCCUCUCUUUUUUCAUGUAGACCGAUGUUGGCUCUUCUCUUCCCAAAUCUUUAAAAAUAAUAUAUAGGUUUUAUUUAUAGCUAAAAGAAAAAUAUUGACUUGAAAAGGUCGGUUUGGAGAAGAAGAAUAGCACUUUGUAUUAUAAAUUUAAAAACAAAACCCAAUCAGUGUAACACCCCAAACCCAACCUAGACGUUGUGACCGAAUCUUAAAAGUUACAUUAACUUCUUGAGAAUUUAGAUUGUUAUUUUCUGAAAUUUCGACUUGUUUUUCUGUAAAAGUAAAUUCUUAGUAAAAAAACUCGUUUUCACUUAUUAGUUGCAAAAAAAAAAAAAAACACCAUUCUACAAUAACGGUUUCUUUAAAACAUUUGUUCUUUACUCGUAAAUUGAAAUAAUAGAAAUACUGUGAACAUGCUUAUUUUUCAGAAAACUAGAUUUCUCAUUUUGUUUUGCAGCGGAAAAACUUUAACUUGUUUAAUUUUGAAAAUCGAACAUUUUUUUUAAUUAACAGAAAUCAUGUAGAAAAUUUAAACUAAUUAACUAAAAACUCAACAAAACCCAAAUCCAAAAAAAAGUUCAAAAAUUAGUUCUACAGUAAAAAGCAUAGUUGAUUGAAUAUGUGAAAUGUGAUUAAAAACAACAUGUAAAAGAAAAUGCGAAAUGAUUUAUAUGAGUCCGAAGGAUCGAUAUGAAAGUUAAAAAAAAUCAAUAGAUUUGAUAUAGAAAUGAUAUGAUUAAAUGAUAUGAUUAAAUGAUAUUUUUUUUAUAGUGGAAAAAGUAGCAUGGUAUGUUAUAAUGAUUUGCCGAUUUGCAUAAUGUAUGUGUCGAAACAAUUUUUUUUAUAAAACGGGAUCGAUUUUAAUUUUGAAAAUGAAAACGAACAUGGGAGUUGCCACCAAUCCUUUUUAUUUAGGUGUGAUCGGAUCACUUUAUAAUUUAAUCAUUUUAAUAAAAGUUUUAAAUUUACUAAAACGAUAAUUUUUGGUCUACAAAAUCCAGAAAAUGGGUUCGGGAGUCAAUUACGCACGAGGAAGGGUUAGCACGCUCGUAACGCCCAGAAAUUGGUACCUAGUUGAUUAAUUAGUGUCUUAGUGUUGAGGAUUGAAAACUUUGAAGAGUUUUAAAAAUACGAUCCUUAAGAAAAACUCGAAUAACAUGGGUUAGAAUUUAGGAUUCUCUUGUUCUGAAGGAAUAUCACAUCCAGCACGUUAGGAUACAAUACUUUAAACCCUCGAAACCAAGAUUACCUUAUGGUUUCCAAAACCCAUAUUUUUGAAAUUUUAAGAGGAUAUUUGGCUAUUUUGUCGAACGAGAAAUUGAAACCCAACACGUUAGGGCACGUUUUCUCGAAUUUCCAAACGUAAAAUAUUGCCUUAUUUUAAAACCCUUUUUUUUUGAAUAAUAGCGAGUACAACACUUGAACGACAUACAUUUGUUUUAUUUAUGAUAAAACAUAAAAGUUUAUUAUAGGUAUAUACAAAUCGAGCGCAACUUUUGAAGUGAUGAAAUGGAAUGAUAAUGGGCCAUAAAAUAACAACUAACGAAUAAAAUGAUACAUUAAUGCAUGACAAGUAUACGAAAACACGAAUAAAUGAAGCAUAGUUCCCACAAUUACAAUAAGCACAGAACAUAUAACAUUUUAAUACCAACAUUAAUAAAGAAAUAAUAUAUGAAAUAAUUUGAAGUAAAUAACAAUAUAAAAUAAGUGAUUUAUAAGAACAAUAAAUAAUAAGGGUUUCAAAUAAACAAUCAAUAGGAAUCUUAAAAUAAAUAAUAACAAAACAGUUUAAAAUAAAUAAAUAAGGUAUGGAACAGUUUUAAAGAAUAUAUGAAAAUUUGAAAGGCAUAUAUAUAUAUACAAUUGAUAAUAUAAAUAUUAUGUAAAACCGUUUAAAACAAAUAAUGUAUGGAACUUAAAAUUAAUAAUGCUAACGAGCCUUCUUUUUUUUAAAAGAAUGAAUAAAAUAAAUUAAAUGGGCCUAGGACGAAAUUGAAUUCGAAUUAAAGAGUCAGGUCUAAAUUAAAAAAAAAGGCCGCCGAGGAUCAAAAUAAGACGCGCCCGAAGAACGAGGGACUUAUUGGGAAAAUAUUCCCUUCCCUCAUGCGCAACGUUCAACACGGACCAGAUUGGAACGAACGGAAAAUCAUGCGGCCCAAAUAAAAAGACAACAUGGAUUAGAUUGCACCACAGCGCAAAAGCGGAGGGACCCCUCACAUAAAUAGACCGUCCAAGCUAGAGGUGCUCAUGGGUUGGGCCGGGCCGGGUUCGGGCCGGGCCAUAAAAAAUUUUGUCCCGGGUCCUACGCCUGGGCUUGGCCCGAAAUAUGGGCCUGAAAUUUUGCCCAUGCCCGGCCCGGGAAAAAUCAUAAUCCCGGGCCCGGCCCAUUUUUUAAUAAAUACCAAAAAAUUAUUUUAAAAAUUAAAAAAAGUAUUUUAAAAAUAUUUUAAAAAUAUUUUAAAAUUAAAUUAAAAAAUUUUAAAAAGUAUUUUAAAAAUAUUUUAAAAUUAAAAAAGUAUUUUAAAAUUUAAAAAAUAAAUAUAUUUAUUAUAUCGGCCCGGCCCGGCCAAAAAAGUUAUGCUCGUUUUUUUGCCCAAGCCCAUAUUUCGGGCCUAUAUUUUUACCCAAACCCUCCCAUACUUCGGGCGGGCCGUCGGGCCGGGCCAGGCCGCCCGGCCCAUGAGCACCUCUAGGCCAAGCAAAACACACGGAUCCUGCUACUGGGUCGGGUCGCGCGCGCGAGUUAAGGGCCAAAACGACGUCGUUUUGGCAACUGAACCCUAACUUAGAAAAUGGCGCCGUUUAAUAACCUUAUUUAAAUCAUUUUUUUAAAAAAAUUCAUUUUUUCAGUGUUUAGAGAAAAAAAAAACUUCAAAACCUCCCAUAUGUCUCUCUCAACCCCACUUGGCCAGCGUGGGUUCCCUCGGAGGAUCUGCCGCACCGCCAUCUGCAACUCUCGACUCAACAAUGUUUGUAUAGUUCCUUUACGUUUUGAUAUAUGACAUGUACUUAAGUUUUGUAUCUUGGAUGGUCAUUUGGAAAAUUGGAUAGUUGAUGUCAAUUUGAAUUUAUGAAUAUGAAAUGUUUAAGUUAUCAUGAACAUUAUGUGAUGUUUAAAUGGUUAAGUGGUGUAAACGAUCAUAUGUAUUAAGUUAGAUUUGAGUUAUGAAUGGUUAAAUUGAUAAACAUGAAUGAUAAUGACAUAGCAAAGGUAGUAUAUGAAGUGUUGAUGUAGGUAUUAUGCUUGAACGGAUUGGUUUCGCAUUGGUUAUUUUGGUUAGGUUAGUAUGGAUUGGUUCCAUAUAAACAUUUCAAAACAGUAUGUCAUGUUGUAACAAGAAAUCGAUAGUGAAUGAUGUCGCGACUUGGAAUCUCCCAAGUUGUGACGUCAACUCGAUAGUUUUAACAUUUUAUAUUUUAGUCCUUAAACGACCUUAGGUUAUCGAAAAAGCUUUCGUAUGCUCGUAUAAACCUUGAAUAUGUUUGUAUAAUAUGAUAUAAUGAUGUAUUGAUCAUAAUUACAUGUAUCAACUGUUGAAUUGAUAAAAUUUAGAUCGUAGUUGUUCCAACAACGAAUGUGACAUCCCAUAACUUGGACCUGAGAUCAAGUUGGUAUGGGGUUUACAAGAAAGGUGGGUUUCGAGAAGAAGAAUAGCACUUUGUAUUAUAAAUUUAAAAACAAAAACUCAAUCAGUUUAGUAAAUGGAGUUAGAGAAGAAAUAAUGGGUUUAGAAAAGAAGUAGAGUACUUUGUGUUAUAAAUUAAAAGAAAAAAAAAUCAAAAAUUUCAAAAAAUUGAAACUUACCAAAGAGUCCAAAUAAAUAUAAUAUAAUAAAACAUUUUGCUUUUCUCUCUUGCUCGAUAGGCCGUUGAUGAUAGAAAUUUUUAUGAUUCUCAAGAAUGAAAGCACUGUUACCCAAGCCCUGAUUUUGUUUCCUGGAAAUUCGAGCAGCAACAAUCGGUCUAAUAAUUAUAACUAGUUAGACUUUUCUAGUUAAUAAAAGACUAUUACGUACCAAUUUUAUAAACUACUAACAAUAUAUAUUUGACAGUUAAAAGUUUUAUUUUACAUAAAACGAAUAUUUAGAAAAUUUUAAUUUAUAUCAAUCUUGACAUACAUGAUCUAUAUGAAUGGAGUAUGAAAUAGGACGGUGAGAUUGUUAAAAUAAAAAUUGUAUAAAAAGUUACUAAAUUAUGCAAAACCACUUUAAUUUUACACCCGUGUAAGUGAAUCUCUCCUCUUAUUUUAUUUUUUAAGUAUUAUAUUAAUAAUUUUUAUCUUACAUGUUUUAUUUAUGUUUUCUGGGUACAUGUUUUAUCUUAAGAUUUGUAUAAUUCUUUACACAAUUAUAAUUCAUUUUACAUAGUUAUAUAAAAUCAUUAAUUUUACAUAAAUUUUGAUAUAUUAUUAUAUUUUGGUUUAGGUUUAUUUCUAUGUGACAUGAUAAUUUUAAUUAUUUAAUUUUUUUUAUCUUCGAAUAAUUUUGUCAAAUAAUUUAAUAAUUGAAUCAUUAUAUAUAGUGUACAAAUCAUAAUAAAAAAUUAAUCUAACUUUACGAAGCAUAAUGAGCAGGUAUAUUCUAGUGAUAUAUUAAAUAUAUUAUAUAACUCUUUUACAUACUUUUUUUACCUUCAAAAAGUCAAAAUCUUGAUCAUUUUAGUCUCUUUUUUUUUAUUAUUAUCAUUUUAGUUUUGAAUCAUCAAAUUUCAAUUAAAUUACCUUUUUUUUUGGACGUAAAAGGUUCACCUAACAAGUAAACUUUUAAACGUGAUAGCCUGUAUAGUAGUGCAUGUGUAUUUUAUUGUUGACGUGGAUGAUUAUUUUCAAAACUUUUAUGAACUUUUUGAAUUUUUAUUUUUAUUUAAUUUAUGAAGUAAGCGCGGACUUUCAUGUGUGUCACCAUGUCACUUCCGUUAAAAUUUUAAUAGUUCAAUUAAUUUUUCCGUUUAAAGAAAAACAAUUUAACAAAAAUUUGAAAAUUUAAAACAAACCGAUCCAAAAAAGUAUCAAGACAAAUGCAUUUAAGAAAAGAGAAAUUAUUUGGUAUACUGCCAGUAGAGCUUUUAUACUCUACAAGCAAAAUCAGGAGUUAAUAAGUAUCCUAUAGAAAAUACCAAUUUUUUAAGAUUACUUAUAAAAAAAAAAAUACACUUCACAGUUCACCCCAAUUAUUGUUAACAAAACCUGAUUCCAAAUCUUUUAAAAUAAUACAAAAAAAUCUAUCAACUAGAUUGUUUAGUGACAAAAUCUUGCAUGGGACAGACCUUGACAAUGGGUAAAUAAGCACUAGCUACAUUUUUUAUUUAUUUAGUCCCUAUAAUUCUAUUUCAAUUCAAGAAAUUACGUGGUGGAUAUAAUAAAAAAUUGUUAUUAAAAGCAAAUAAUUUUCGUCACUAAGUUCACAUGGUUCAAUUACAAAAAAAUUAUUGUGUAAUUGUGAAAGAAAUUACCUUUUCUCUAAAGCUAUUUAUAGACCCAAUUUUUGUCAAAAUAUUUGCACUCAUUUCCCCCUUCUUUUUCCUUUAUGAAAAUGGCCUCCUUCAAAGAGAUUAUAUCAACUCUCCCAAGAAGAAAAAGUUGGAAUGACUCAAAUAACGACUUUUUUUUGUAUCGAGGCUUCUGGUGUUACUCAUUUUUCAUUGAAGGAGUGAUGUCGGCUCAACAAAAUUUCCAAUCUCAACCUUCCGAUAUCGUCAUAUGCAGUGCACCGAAAACUGGAACAACAUGGUUAAAGUCCCUCACUUUUGCCAUUGUCACAAGAACCACCUUCGAUGAUUCCACUAACCCUUUACUUGCCAAUCUAUCACAUGAUUGUGUACCCUUUUUAGAGGUUGAUUUAGCCCAAUCUUCUACCAAUCGAGACCCUAAAAAUCCUUUGUUAGCCACACAUGUCCCUUACUCUUCUUUACCAAGAUCAAUAAUUGAUUCCAGUUGUAAAAUUGUUUACAUUUGUAGGGACCCUAAGGAUUCAUUCGUUUCGUUUUAUCACUUCAUUGCUAGGCGCUUGGCAUCCAAAGACAUAAAGCCCCUUGCUUUAGAAGAGGCCUUUGAGCUUUAUUGCCAAGGUGUAAGCAAUUAUGGACCUUAUUGGGACCAUGUUCUAGGGUUUUGGAAAGCAAGUUUGGACCGACCUGAUAAGAUUCUUUUCUUGAAAUACGAAGAAAUGAUAGAAGAUAUUGUUUUUUACGUUAAGAAAUUAGCUGAUUUCAUCAGUUAUCCUUUCUCUUCUGAAGAAAUCAAAAAAGGGUCAGUCGACAAGAUCAUAAGCAUGUGUAGUUUUGAGAACUUAAGCAAAUUGGAAGUGAAUAAAAGUGGCAAACACCGUGAAGGAACUCCAGGGGUGAUUGAAAACAAGAUCUAUUUCCGAAAAGGUAAGGUUGGGGAUUGGGAGAAUUAUUUGACACCUGAAAUGGCUUCUCGGUUGGACUCGAUAACGUUACAGAAGCUAAAUGGUUCAGGCUUAACUCUGUGAUUGAAUCAUAAAGCAGCCAUGGGGUACAUUGUCCCUUCUCUGCAAUUUCGACAUAUUAUGUUUCUAAAAUAAUUUGUGUAUGCUUUUUGCAAGUAGCAACACUUCUCGUGUUGUUCAUGUUAACAUCAAUAAAAAGCAUAGUUGAUUCAAUAUGUGAAAUGUGAUUAAAAACAACAUGUAAAACACAAUGCAAAUUGGUUUAUAUGAGUUCGGAGGACCAAUAUAAAAAUAAAAAAAAUUAAUAGAUUCGAUAUAUAAAUGAUAUGAUUAAAUUAUAUGAAUUGAAAUGAAAAUGAUUGUAUUUUUUUAUAGUGGAAAAAGUAGCAUGGCACGUCAUAAUGAUUUGCCGGUUUUCAUAAUGUAUGAAUCGAGAUAUAUGACAUGAAGAGAUGAAAUUCAAACGUUUGAAUCUUGAACAUGUUUUCAUUACAUUUUUGUCAAAUUAAUGUUUAUGUUGGUAUGACUUGAUCAUAAAGGUACUGAUGAUCUUUAUUGUUCAAUGUACACUUUGUUUAUUCCAUGUGAGGUAUUAGUUAAUUUCGAAGACUCGAGGAGUGAUCCAACAUCCGGUCUGCAACUCUCGACUCAACAAUGUUUGUAUAGUUCCUUUACGUUUUGAUAUAUGACAUGUACUUAAGUUUUGAGUUAGUUUUGUAUCUUGGAUGGUCAUUUGGAAAAUUGGAUUGUUGAUGUGAAUUUGAGUUUAUGAAUAUGAAAUGUUUAAGUUAUCAUGAACAUUAUAUGAUGUUUAAAUGGUUAAGUGGUGUAAAUGGUCAUAUGUAUUAAGUUAGGUUUGAGUUAUGAAUGGUUAAAUUGAUAAACAUGAAUGAUAAUGACAUAGCAAAGGUAGUAUAUGAAGUGUUUGAUGUAGGUAUUAUGCUUGAAUGGAUUGGUUUCGCAUUGGUUAUUUUGGUUAGGUUAGUAUGGAUUGGUACCAAAUAAGCAUUUCAAAACAGUAUGUCAUGUUGUAACAAGAAAUCGAUAGUGAAUGAUGUCGCGACUUGGAAUCUCCCAAGUCGUGACGUCAACUCGAUAGUUUUAACAUUUUAUAUUUUAGUCCUUAAACGACCUUAGGUUAUCGAAAGAGCUUUCGUAUGCUCGUAUAAACCUUGGAUAUGUUUGUAUAAUAUGAUAUAAUGAUGUAUUGAUCAUAAUUACAUGUAUAAACUGUUGAAUUGAUAAAAUUUAGAUCAUAGUUGUUCUAACAACGAAUGUGACAUCCCAUAGCUUUGACCUGUGAUCAAGUUGGGUAUGGGGUGUUACUAGAAAGGUGGGUUUGGAGAAGAAGAAUAGCAUUUGUAUUAUAAAUUUAAAAACAAAAACUCAAUCAGUAUAGUAAGUGGAGUUUGAGAAGAAAUAAUGGGUUUAGAAAAGAAGUAGAGUACUUUGUAUUAUAAAUUAGAAGAAAAAAAUCUAAAAUUUCAAAAAAUUGAAACUUACCAAAGAAUCCAAAUAAAUAUAAUAUAAUACAACAUUUUGCUCUUCUCUCUUGCUCGAUAGGCCGUUGAUGGUAGAAGUUUUUAUGAUUCUCAAGAAUGAAAGCACUGUUACCCAAGCCCUGAUUUUGUUUCCUGGAAAUUCGAGCAGCAACCAUCGGUUUAAUAAUUAUAAUUAGUUAGACUUUUCUAGAUAAUAAAAUACUAUUACGUACCAAUUUUAUAAACUACUAACAAUAUAUAUUUGACAGUUAAAAGUUUUUUUUUACAUAAAACGAAUAUUUAGAAAAUUUUAAUUUAUGUCAAUCUUGACAUACAUGAUCUAUAUGAAUGGAGUAUGAAAUAUGACGGUGGGAUUGUUAAAAUAAAAAUUGUAUAAAAAGUUACUAAAUUAUGCAAAACCACUUUAAUUUUACACCGUGUAAGUGAAUCUCCCCUCUUAUUUUAUUUUUUAAGUAUUAUAUUAAUAACUUUUAUCUUAAAUAUUUUAUUUAUGUUUUUUGGGUACAUCUUUUAUCUUAAGAUUUGUAUAAUUCUUUACACAAUAAUAAUUCAUUUUAUAUAGUUAUAAAAAAAUCAUUAAUUUUACAUAAAUUUUGAUAUAUUAUUAUAUUUUGAAUUUAUGUUUAUUUCUAUGUGACAUGAUAAUUUUAAUUAUUGAAAUUUUUUAUCUUCGAAUAAUUUUGUCAAAUAAUUUAAUAAUUAAAUCAUUAUAUAUAGUGUACAAAUCAUAUUAAAAAAUUAAUCUAACUUUACGAAGCAUAAUGAGCAGGUAUAUUCUAGUGAUAUAUUAAAUAUAUUAUAUAAUUUACAUAUUUUUUUUACCUUCAAAAAGUCAAAUUCUUGAUCAUUUUAGUCUUUUUUUUAUCAUUUUAGUUUUGAAUCAUCAAAUUUCAAUUAAAUUACCUUUUUUUUACGUAAAAAUUGACCUAACAAUUAAAAUUUUAACGUCAUUAAUGUGGUAGCCUGUAUAGUAGUGUAUGUAUACUUUAUUGUUAACAUGGAUGAAUAUUUUCAAAACUUUUAUGAACUUUUUGAAUUUUUAUUUUUAUUUAAUUUAUGAAGUAAACGUGAAUUUUCAUGUGUGUCACCACGUCACUCCCGUUAAAAUUUUAAUAGUCCAAUUAAUUUUUCAGUUCAAAGAAAAACAAUUUAACAAAAAUUUGAAAAUUUAAAACAAAUCGAUCCAAAAAAGUAUUAAGACAAAUGCAUUUAAGAGAAGGGAAAUUAUUUGGUACAUUGUCGGUAAAGCUUUUAUACUUCACAAGCAGGAUCGGGGGUUAAUAAGUAUCUUAUAGAGAUAUUAUAAAAUAUCAAUUUUUAAAAUUACUUAUGAAAUAAAAAAAUACACUUCACCCCAAUUAGUGUGAAAAAAAAAUACAAAACUUGAUUCCAAAUCUUUUAAAAUAAUACAAAAAAAUCUAUCAACUAGAUUGUUUAGCGACAAAAUCAUGCAUGGGACAGACCUUGACAAUGGCUAAAUAAGCACUAGCUACAUUAUUUAUUUAUUUAGUCCCUAUAAUUCUGUUCCAAUUCAAGAAAUUACGUGGUGGAUAUAAUAAAAAAUUGUUGUUAAAAGCAAAUAAUUUUCGUCACUAAGUUCACAUGGUUCAAUUACAAAAAAAUUAUUGUGCAAUUGUGAAAGAAAUUACCUUUUCUCUGAAGCUAUUUAUAGACCCAAUUUUUGUCAAAAUAUUUGCACUCAUUUCCCCUUUCUUUUUCCUUUAUGAAAAUGGCCUCCUUCAAAGAGAUUAUAUCAACACUCCCAAGAAGAAAAGGCUGGAAUGACUCAGAUAACGACCUUUUUUUGUAUCGAAGCUUCUAUUAUUACUCGUUUUUCAUUGAAGGAGCGAUGUCGGCUCAACAAAAUUUCCAAUCUCAACCUUCCGAUAUCAUCAUAUGCAGUGCAUCGAAAACUAGAACAACAUGGUUAAAGUCCCUCACUUUCGCCAUUGUCACAAGAACCAUCUUCGAUGAUUCCACUAACCCUUUACUUACCAAUCUUGAUCAUUUUAGUCUCUUUUUUUUUUUAUCAUUUUAGUUUUGAAUCAUCAAAUUUCAAUUAAAUUACCUUUUUUUUUGGACGUAAAAGGUUGACCUAACAAGUAAACUUUUAAACGUGAUAGCCUGUAUAGUAGUGCAUGUGUAUUUUAUUGUUCACGUGGAUGAUUAUUUUCAAAAUUUUUAUGAACUUUUUAAAUUUUUAUUUUUAUUUAAUUUAUGAAGUAAGCGCGGACUUUCAUGUGUGUCACCAUGUCACUUCCGUUAAAAUUUUAAUAGUCCAAUUAAUUUUUCCGUUAAAAGAAAAACAAUUUAACAAAAAUUUGAAAAUUUAAAAUAAACCGAUCCAAAAAAGUAUUAAGACAAAUGCAUUUAAGAAAAGGGAAAUUAUUUGGUGCAUUGCCGGUAGAGCUUUUAUACUCCACAAGUAGAAUUAGGGGUUAAUAAGUAUCCUAUAGAGAAAUAGUAAAAUAUUAAUUUUUUAAGAUUACUUAUAAAAUAAAAAAAUACACUUCACCCCAAUUACUGUAAAAAAAAAUACAAAACUUGAUUCCAAAUCUUGCUCUUUAAAAAAAUUUUUGACUUCACCCCGAUGUGCUAAAAGUGUUUUAAUUAGAUCCUAGACUCAAUAGAUUACACUCGUUUAGUGGAGUUUUAUCGUUCAUGUUAUAUAAGUCAUUCUAAAAAAAAAAAAAAAACCCUAUAAAAAGGAUCAUCUUUAAGUCAUUCAAUACAACUUCAAAAGUGCAAAAAAUAUCAAAGUCUGAACAGAAGAUUUUGAUGACUAGAAGUUGUUUCUUAAAAUCCUAAAAAAUUGAAAAACUUAAAUAAAUUCCAAAGAAUGUCACAUCUUUUUGAUACAAUGGCUAAGACUACCCAUAGCCCCCCUCAACACUUAAACAGAGGGAUAAUAAGCUUUAGUACACUUGAAUUCAAGUUCUCCCAACCCAAAUAUAAAAAAUAAAACCCAAACCCAAAUUAAUAUUCUAUAAAUUUAUAGUCACAACUUUAUAUAAUUUAGUUAUAAUUUUAAUGUAUAUUAUAUACAUUAAAAACCUAAAUCCUGCCUCAUUUACCAAUUCCCAAAUCUGAAAUUCCUAUCCCAAAACCUAGCACCAUUUACACCGCCAUCAGCCCCUCCUCGACUGUCACCUACUACUGCAGGCCACACGACCACACCCGUCCAGCGUCCACCACCAGCAAGCAAUUGAAAGCAAAGUAGCAAGGAUAAUGCGGCCAUGGAAGGCAAGAAUUGAAGACAAAGAAGAGAAGGAAAGGAAAGCAAGCUUUAUCACGUAAUAGAAGGUUUGAAUGUUUAAAAGAGAUUUCUCAUGCAAGCUGGUUGGAUGAAUUAGGUUAAUCUCUAAUUUUUGGUUUAUUUGAAUCGAUUUAGUGCACACCUUAUUUUUUUUUUCACCUUAUUUUUUCUUUCAUGAUCUUAUUGAUUCGACCAUAAAUUUUGUUUAUGAUAUGUUUUUAAUGGAAUAAAAUUCUAAUCUAUUAGAUGUGAAUUGCUCUAAUCUAAGCACAAUUAUUGUACAAUUUUGUUAAAAAAAUGAAACUAUAAAUUUUGAAAUAAUUAUGAAUAAAUUAAUAUUAGUCUGUUGAUGUGAACAAUUAUUUUUAAAACUUUUUUAUUUUUUAAUUUUAAAAAGUACACACGUUCUUUUAUUUGAGUUAUCAUGUUACUUUCAUUAAAAUAGUACAAUUAAUUUUUGUGUAAAAUUUAAAAUACACUUCACCUUUAAAAAAUAAAAAAAUGCAUUGGACAGCACUAACUACAUUCAUUUAUUAAUUUAGUUCCUAUAACUCUACUCCAAUUCAAGAAAUCACGUGGUGGACAUAAUAAAAAACUGAUAUUAAAAGCAAAUAAUUCUCCACACUAAGAUCACAUGGUUGAAUUAAAAAAAGUUGAUUGCGUAAUUGUGAAAGAACUUACCUUUUCUCUCAAGCUAUUUAUAGAUCCAAUUUUUGUCAAAAUACUUGCACUCAUUUCUCCUUUCGUUUUUCCUUUAUCAAAAUGGCCUCCUUCAAAGAGAUCAUCUCAACACUCCCAAGAAGAAAAGGCUGGACUGACUCAAAUAACGACCUUUUUUUGUAUCGAGGCUUCUGGUGUUACUCGUUUUUCAUUGAAGGAGUGAUGUCGGCUCAACAAAAUUUUCAAUCUCAACCUUCCGAUAUCGUCAUAUGCAGUGCACCGAAAACUGGAACAACAUGGUUAAAGUCCCUCACUUUCGCCAUUGUCACAAGAACCACCUUCGAUGAUUCCACUAGCCCUUUACUUGCCAAUCUAUCACAUGAUUGUGUACCCUUUUUAGAGGUUGAUUUAGCCCAUUCUUCUACCAAUCGAGACCCUAAAAAUCCUUUGUUAGCCACACAUGUCCCUUACUCUUCUUUACCAAGAUCAAUAAUUGAUUCCAGUUGUAAAAUUGUCUACAUUUGUAGGAACCCUAAGGAUUCAUUCGUUUCGUUUUAUCACUUCAUUGCUAGGCUCUCGGCAUCCAAAGACAUGAAGCCCGUUGCUUUAGAAGAGGCCUUUGAGCUUUAUUGCCAAGGUGUAAGCAAUUAUGGACCUUAUUGGGACCAUGUUCUAGGGUUCUGGAAAGCAAGUUUGGACCGACCUGAUAAGAUUCUUUUCUUGAAAUACGAAGAAAUGAUAGAAGAUACUGUUUUAUACGUUAAGAAAUUAGCUGAUUUCAUCGGUUAUCCUUUCUCUUCUGAAGAAAUCAAAAAAGGGUCAGUCGACAAGAUCGUAAGCAUGUGUAGUUUUGAGAAAUUAAGCAAUUUGGAAGUGAAUAAAAGUGGCAAACAUCGUGAAGGAACUCCAGGGGUGAUUGAAAACAAGAUCUAUUUCCGAAAAGGUAAGGUUGGGGAUUGGGAGAAUUAUUUGACACCUGAAAUGGCUGCUCAGUUGGACUCGAUAACGUUACAGAAGCUAAAUGGUUCAGGCUUAACUCUGUGAUUGAAUCAUAAAGCAACCAUAGGGUACAUUGUCCCUUCUCUGCAAUUUCGACAUAUUGUGUUUCUAAAAAUAAUUU